rnacentral:ncRNA from 1 species
AUUAUCAAUUUUAGCCAGACUUACACAUGCAAGCAUCCGCACCCCUGUGAGAAUGCCCUGUAGUUCCCUGCUCGGGAACAAGGAGCUGGUAUCAGGCACAAAAACUUAGCCCAUGACGCCUUGCUUAGCCACACCCUCAAGGGAAUUCAGCAGUGAUAAACAUUAAGCCAUAAGUGAAAACUUGACUUAGUCAAGGCUAAGAGGGCCGGUAAAUCUCGUGCCAGCCACCGCGGUUAUACGAAAGACCCAAGUUGAUAAACACCGGCGUAAAGAGUGGUUAGGGUAAACUAUCAAACUAAAGCCGAACAUCUUCAAAGCUGUUAUACGCACACGAAGGACAGAAGCACAACCACGAAAGUGGCUUUACCCCACCUGACCCCACGAGAGCUAUGGCACAAACUGGGAUUAGAUACCCCACUAUGCCUAGCCGUAAACAUCGAUAAUACACUACAUUUAUUAUCCGCCUGGGGACUACGAGCAUCAGCUUAAAACCCAAAGGACUUGGCGGUGCUUUAGAUCCACCUAGAGGAGCCUGUUCUAGAACCGAUAAUCCCCGUUAAACCUCACCUUUCCUUGUUUUUCCCGCCUAUAUACCGCCGUCGUCAGCUUACCCUGCGAAGGAUCAAUAGUAAGCAAAAUUGGUACAACCCAAAACGCCAGGUCGAGGUGUAGCGUAUGGAAAGGGAAGAAAUGGGCUACAUUCAAUAUUACAAUGAAUACGAACGGUGGCCUGAAAUACCCACCUGAAGGAGGAUUUAGCAGUAAGCAGGAAAUAGAGAGUCCCGCUGAAAUUGGCCCUGAAGCGCGUACACACCGCCCGUCACUCUCCCCAAGUCUAUGUAUCUUCAUACUUAAUACCCUAAAACUGCAAAGGGGAGGC